AACCUAGCACACCUGCGGUGUGUACCUGCGGAGGGAUCAUUACUGAGUGUAAAAACUCCCAAACCCAUUGUGAACAUACCACUGUUGCUUCGGCGGAUACGCCCCGGGCGCGCUCUUCACAGGGCGUGCCCCGGAACCAGGCGCCCGCCGGGGGACCGAAACUCUUGUUUUCUUAGGAUCUCUGAGUGUGAUUAUUAAAUAAAUCAAAACUUUUAGCAACGGAUCUCAGAUCGGAAGAGC
rnacentral:misc_RNA from 1 species